UACGUAGGGUGCAAGCGUUGUCCGGAUUUAUUGGGCGUAAAGAGCGUGUAGGCGGCUUGGCAAGUCCGCUGUGAAAACUCGAGGCUCAACCUCGAGACGUCGGUGGAAACUGCCUCGCUAGAGUCCGGAAGAGGAGAGUGGAAUUCCUGGUGUAGCAGUGAAAUGCGCAGAUAUCGGGAGGAACACCAGUGGCGAAGGCGGCACUCUGGGCCGGAACUGACGCUGAGGAGCGAAAGCGUGGGGAGCGAACAGG
rnacentral:rRNA from 1 species